UACGUAGGUGGCAAGCGUUGUCCGGAUUUACUGGGCGUAAAGCGUAUGCAGGCGGGCCUUUUAAGUAGGAAGUGAAAGGUUGGAGCUCAACUCUAACACUGCUCCCUAUAACUGGAGGUCUUGAGUGCCGGAGAGGAAGAUGGAACUACACGGUGUAGCGGUGAAAUGCGUUGAGAUGUGUAGGAACACCAAUGGCGAAAGCAAUCUUCUGGACGGAUACUGACGCUGAGAUACGAAAGCCAAGGGAGCGAAACAGG
rnacentral:rRNA from 1 species